rnacentral:lncRNA from 1 species
ACCCAGCCCGGCCCCGCGCGGGCGCCCCGAGCCGGCUGCGCGCGCCUGGCGGCUACAUGGAGAGUGUCAGGUUCCCGUGUCAGUGGCUAUGAUGACACCUCAGGUUAUCACUCCUCAACAAAUGCAGCAGAUCCUCCAGCAGCAAGUGCUGAGCCCACAGCAGCUCCAGGUUCUCCUCCAGCAACAGCAGGCCCUCAUGCUUCAACAGCAGCAGCUUCAAGAAUUUUACAAGAAACAACAGGAACAGUUGCAGCUUCAACUCCUCCAACAGCAACAUGCUGGAAAACAGCCGAAAGAGCAGCAGCAGCAGGUGGCUACCCAGCAGUUGGCUUUCCAGCAGCAGCUUCUUCAGAUGCAGCAGCUGCAGCAGCAGCACCUCCUGUCUCUCCAGCGGCAAGGCCUUCUAACAAUUCAGCCCGGGCAGCCUGCCCUUCCCCUCCAACCUCUUGCUCAAGGCAUGAUUCCAACGGAACUGCAGCAGCUCUGGAAAGAAGUGACAAGUGCCCACACUGCAGAGGAAACCACAGGCAGCAACCACAGCAGCCUAGACCUGACCAGCACAUGCGUCUCGUCCUCCGCACCUUCCAAGACCUCCCUAAUCAUGAACCCACACGCCUCUACCAAUGGACAGCUCUCGGUCCACACCCCCAAAAGGGAAAGCUUGUCCCACGAGGAGCACCCCCACAGCCACCCUCUCUACGGACAUGGUGUCUGCAAGUGGCCAGGC